CAGUAGCGCGGUAAUACGAAGGGGGCUAGCGUUGCUCGGAAUUACUGGGCGUAAAGGGAGCGUAGGCGGAUCGUUAAGUUGGGGGUGAAAGCCCGGGGCUCAACCUCGGAACUGCCUUCAAUACUGGCGAUCUUGAGUAUGAGAGAGGUGUGUGGAACUCCGAGUGUAGAGGUGAAAUUCGUAGAUAUUCGGAAGAACACCAGUGGCGAAGGCGACACACUGGCUCAUUACUGACGCUGAGGCUCGAAAGCGUGGGGAGCAAACAGGAUUAGAUACCCGAGUAGUCCCUGUCUCUUAUACA
rnacentral:rRNA from 1 species